GACGAACGCUGGCGGCGUGCUUAACACAUGCGAGUCGAACGGAAAGGCCCUGCUUUUGUGGGGUGCUCGAGUGGCGAACGGGUGAGUAACACGUGAGUAACCUGCCCUUGACUUUGGGAUAACUUCAGGAAACUGGGGCUAAUACCGGAUAGGAGCUCCUGCUGCAUGGUGGGGGUUGGAAAGUUUCGGCGGUUGGGGAUGGACUCGCGGCUUAUCAGCUUGUUGGUGGGGUAGUGGCUUACCAAGGCUUUGACGGGUAGCCGGCCUGAGAGGGUGACCGGCGAAAUUGGGACUGAGGUAAGGCCCAGACUCCUACGGGGGGAAGCGGUGGGGAAUAUUGCACAAUAGGCGGAAGUCUGAUGCAGCAACGCCGCGUGCGGGAUGACGGCCUUCGGGUUGUAAACCGCUUUCGCCUGUGACGAAGCGUGAGUGACGGUAAUGGGUAAAGAAGCACCGGCUAACUACGUG
rnacentral:rRNA from 1 species